GUCGAGAAUAAUUCACAAUGGGGGAAACCCUGAUGGUGCAACGCCGCGUGGAGGAUGAAGGUCUUCGGAUUGUAAACUCCUGUCAUCUGGGAGUAAGACCUGACGGUGAAUAGCCGGCAGGGUUGAUAGUACCAGAAGAGGAAGGGACGGCUAACUUCGUGCCAGCAGCCGCGGUAAUACGAAGGUCCCAAGCGUUGUUCGGAAUCACUGGGCGUAAAGGGAGCGUAGGCGGCGUGGUAAGUCAGAUGUGAAAUCCCGGGGCUCAACCCCGGAACUGCAUCCGAUACUGCCAUGCUUGAGGGUUGGAGAGGUAGCUGGAAUUCUCGGUGUAGCAGUGAAAUGCGUGGAUAUCGAGAGGAACACUCGUGGCGAAGGCGAGCUACUGGACAACACCUGACGCUGAGGCUCGAAGGCCAGGGGAGCAAAAGGGAUUAGAUACCCUAGUAGUCC
rnacentral:rRNA from 1 species